UAAAGACCUCCAUAAAAAGGAUGACGAUUUUGAGAAAAAGCUUUUUGAUAGCAUCUUCCUCUUUGUCAGGCUUGAAUCCAUGAUGGAAGGUUGUUCGGACUCUGAUGAGUACAGUUUGUAUGGCCAGCAAACUGAGCAUUCUAGGGAUGGCCUGUUGAUUGGCAACCAUGGAAAUGCAGCUUCACCCAAUGUGGACACAACAUUCUCAUCAGUUGACUCAAUCGUGCCAGUUAGAUCUCCGAUGCAUAUGAAUAGCACGGUAAGAUCAUCUGAGCAAGCAAGCAACCAUACCGAUAGCG
rnacentral:misc_RNA from 1 species